GCCAGGUAUGGUGGCUCAUGCCUGUAAUCCCAGCACUUUGGAGGCUGAGGUGGGUGGAUCACCUGAGGUCAGGAGUUCGAGGCCAGCCUGGCCAAAAUGGUGAAACCCCAUCUCUA
rnacentral:SRP_RNA from 2 species